rnacentral:misc_RNA from 1 species
AAGAAGUUGCAGAAAGGCUCCUAAACCAUUGUGAACCUUACUUCAUUCGUUGCCUUCGGCGGGCGGCUUCCCCUCACGGGACCGCAGCCCCGCCUUUCAGGAGGUAAGGGCAGCCGCCGGAGGUCACGAAACUCUGUAUUAUUAGUGGCUAUCUGUGAGUACUUUAAAAAUAAGUUA